AGUGAACGCUGGCGGUAGGCCUAACACAUGCAAGUCGAACGGCAGCACAGUAAGAGCUUGCUCUUACGGGUGGCGAGUGGCGGACGGGUGAGGAAUACAUCGGAAUCUACUUUUUCGUGGGGGAUAACGUAGGGAAACUUACGCUAAUACCGCAUACGACCUACGGGUGAAAGCAGGGGAUCUUCGGACCUUGCGCGAUUGAAUGAGCCGAUGUCGGAUUAGCUAGUUGGCGGGGUAAAGGCCCACCAAGGCGACGAUCCGUAGCUGGUCUGAGAGGAUGAUGAGCCACACUGGAACUGAGACACGAUCCAGACUCCUACGGGAGGCAGCAGUGGGGAAUAUUGGACAAUAGGGGAAAGCCUGUUCCAGCCAUACCGCAUAAGUGAAGAAGGCCUUCGGGUUGUAAAACCCUUUUGUUGGGAAAGAAAAGCAGCAGGUUAAUACCCCGCUGUUCUGACGGUACCAAAAGAAUAAGCACCGGCUAACUUCGUG
rnacentral:rRNA from 1 species